AAUGAAGAACGCAGCGAAAUGCGAUAAGUAAUGUGAAUUGCAGAAUUCAGUGAAUCAUCGAAUCUUUGAACGCACAUUGCGCCCGCCAGUAUUCUGGCGGGCAUGCCUGUUCGAGCGUCAUUUCAACCAUCAAGCCCCCGGCUUGUGUUGGGGACCUGCGGCUGCCGCAGGCCCUGAAAAGCAGUGGCGGGCUCGCUGUCACACCGAGCGUAGUAGCAUACAUCUCGCUCUGGGCGUGCUGCGGGUUCCGGCCGUUAAACCACCUUCAUAACCCAAGGUUGACCUCGGAUCAGGUAGGAAGACCCGCUGAACUUAAGCAUAUCAAUAAGCGGAGGA
rnacentral:misc_RNA from 1 species